CAGUCGCCGCGGUAAUACGGAGGGUGCAAGCGUUAAUCGGAAUUACUGGGCGUAAAGCGUGCGUAGGCGGUUCGUUAAGUCUGUUGUGAAAGCCCCGGGCUCAACCUGGGAAUGGCAAUGGAUACUGGCGAGCUAGAGUGUGUCAGAGGAUGGUGGAAUUCCCGGUGUAGCGGUGAAAUGCGUAGAGAUCGGGAGGAACGUCAGUGGCGAAGGCGGCCAUCUGGGACAACACUGACGCUGAGGCACGAAAGCGUGGGGAGCAAACAGGAUUAGAUACCCCAGUAGUCCCUGUCUAUUAUAA
rnacentral:rRNA from 1 species